CCUACGGGGGGCAGCAGUGAGGAAUAUUGGUCAAUGGACGAGAGUCUGAACCAGCCAAGUAGCGUGAAGGAUGACUGCCCUAUGGGUUGUAAACUUCUUUUAUAUGGGAAUAAAAUGUUCCACGUGUGGGAUUUUGUAUGUACCAUAUGAAUAAGGAUCGGCUAACUCCGUGCCAGCAGCCGCGGUAAUACGGAGGAUCCGAGCGUUAUCCGGAUUUAUUGGGUUUAAGGGGAGCGUAGGUGGAUUGUUAAGUCAGUUGUGAAAGUUUGCGGCUCAACCGUAAGAUUGCAGUUGAAACUGGCAGUCUUGAGUACAGUAGAGGUGGGCGGAAUUCGUGGUGUAGCGGUGAAAUGCUUAGAUAUCACGAAGAACUCCAAUUGCGAAGGCAGCUCGCUGGACUGCAACUGACACUGAGGCUCGAAAGUGUGGGUAUCAAACAGGAUUAGAUACCCGUGUAGUC
rnacentral:rRNA from 1 species